AACAUGUUUUCCCUUUGUCAGUAUGGGUUACUGAAAGUACAGUGGUGGGAACAAAGGUCUGUUUUAUCCAUUUAAUCAAAUCUUCAACAUAAGUGAAGGUCUGAAUACUUCCUGGGGACACUGUAUAUAUGUGUAUGUUUAUGAACAAACAGUUAUUAAACACACCUGUGGUGUUCCUGCUGCUGAUGUUGUGUCUCUGUAACAACUGCAGGGUCCUGUGAAAGUGAAGCUCACUAAGCCUCCGAUUGUCAGCAUCCGUCAAAGCGGACUCACCGUCUACGUGAAGGCCAGAGCACAAUCUCUAGUUAAACAACGUCUAACACCUCUUCCUUUGACCUGUCAGGUUGAUCUGAAGGUCAAUAUCAGAGGAAAACAUCUGGAUCUUCUCUCUAAAGAUGCCAAGUGUAAAGUCCAACCUCAAACAUUUGGGGGAAAACUUGUGGCGCCACUUGUUAACAUCGGCCUCAACAGAAAGAUCACAGAUGAUCUGAUGC